AAAACAUUGGUGUAAUUUAGGGCUAUUUUGAAAUUAGUUCAUUAAGGGACCCAGCAAAUCCAUCCUGCUUCUAGUUGCUGCUGCUGCUGCUAAAUCACUUCAGUCGUGUCCGACUCUGUGCGACCCCAUAGACGGCAGCCCACCAGACUACCCAGUCCCUGGGAUUCUCCAGGCAAGAACACUGGAAUGGGUUGCCAUUUCCUUCUCCAAUGCAUGAAAGUGAAAAGUGAAAGUGAAGCCGCUCAGUCGUGUCCGACUCUUCGAGACCCCAUGGACUGCAGCCUACCAGGCUCCUCCGCCCAUGGGAUUUUCCAGGGAUUUUAUUUGUAAACUUUGAUUUCUUUCCACUGAGGGAGAUGGGAUAUUUUCAAACAUCUUCUCUUGGGUUGUGGCUGAUUUAUAGCAAUAGCAUUAACUCUCAUUAUACCUGGUGAUCCUCAAGCAAGAACAAAUCCCUC
ensembl:lncRNA